AGGUGCGAUCAUACCAGCACUGAUGCACCGGAUCCCAUCAGAACUCCGCAGUGAAGCGUGCUUGGGCGAGAGUAGUACCUGGAUGAGUGACCUCCUGGGAAGUCCUCGUGUUGCACCUC
rfam:Lupinus angustifolius cultivar Tanjil contig_23389, whole genome shotgun sequence.